GUGUUUAGAAGAUUCAGUCCACAGUUGGCUGCCUCCAAGGCAGGAAGGGCAUGGUGGAACAGUCUGGGCAGAGAACAGCUGCUUGUGUCAUAGUGGCCAGGAAGCAGCAUGCAAAUCGAGGAGCCAGGGAGGGAGAUAGACCCUUCCAGGUCACUUGCCCAGUGAGCCACCUCCAACCAGGCCCCACUGCUAACAGCAACUCAGCUAUGAACUUAUCAGUGGAUUAACACAUAGGGAUCGAACUCAGGACAUUGCGCUUACAAGGCAGGCGCCAUAACCAUUGAGCUAAAUCCCCGGCCCAAGACUACUUUUGAAUGCACCAAAAGCUUCUGACUCACCAUGGCAACAUCUUCCUGCUGAAAGGUGAAGCCUGGUCAGAGGAGGUGGGCCACUGGGGGUGUGACCUGGAAGGAUCUCUCUGUCCCUCCUCCCUUGAUCUAUCUCUGCUUCCUGUCUGCCAUGUCAAGAGCAACCCUCCUUUGACUUGCCCCCCUGCCAUGCUGCCCUGCCUUGGAGCCAGACGACUAUGGAUUGAAAACUGCAAACUGUGAGCUGAAAUAAACCUUUCCUCCUUUAAGUUGUGGGUGUUGGGUAUUGUG
rnacentral:lncRNA from 1 species